GGGAAUCUCUCUCCGUCUCCCUGCGCAAACGCGGUAUCUCCCGAAACAGUCCCAGCCCCUCUCCGACACGCUCGAGAGUGGCCAAGGCCCAAAGCAGCCAAUCGUAGUCAUCAGCAAGUGAGCGUGGUGGUGGCUGGCAAGACAACUCACCGCAGUUACCACCAAACUCAAUGGAUUCCCCCUCCCUCCGACGAGGAUAGUCAACAGUUAAGUCCCUUCCCUCUCAGUUCUUCCUCAUCUCCUACCAAACCUUCAAAAGGUCUUUGGUGGAAUGUACGCUAAUUUCUGGCGAGCUUUACCUGCAACUCUGAGACUCGGGAUUGAACGGCAUCCCUUUAAUGUGUUUGACCUACUCAGUGAAUGACUUAAGUGGGGCGGUCAUCGGAGGGCUUUAACGAGAGGGCGAAACCCAAAGUAGGCAAGAUUAGUGUGAGGUCGCAAGGGACUGCUGGUGCUAGAACCUGGGGCAACGCAGCAAACCCUGGACGACUGACCUGCUGAGUUCCGCCAAUGUUUUGUAAGAUUUGAUGGCUGGGGUUUAAGGUGAAGAGCUCAAGGAAUUGAUGAGAUAGCUGAAAACUUGCUCACUGUGUCAUGGGUGAAAAAAUGAUAUUAUAAUUACAGAGACUACGCCUGAUCUUCAAUUCAGCAAGCUACUUUUUUUUUAUUUCGGUGCCGUUGAAUCUCCUAAGAAUGAACACCAUCUUGCUGAUGUCCAUAUCAGGUGAUAAAUCACAAGUAAAAUAGAUUCUGCAGGUGUUGGAAGCACACAUAAUUCUGAAGGAACCCAGCAGGUCGGGCAACAUCUGUGGAGAGGAAUGAACAGUCAAGGUUUUGAGCCAAGACCUGCCAUCUGGACUGGAAAGCAGUGUAUGAUCUGCUUCCAUGUCCAUCAAACCUACACACAUGGGGCAAGGCAGAUUCAUCUGCGUGCCCACUGUGCUCCAAGUGAGGAACCCUGCAGCACAUCCUCAGCGACUGCGGAAGGGACGGUACCGAUGGAGGAAUGAUCAGGUCCUGAAGACCAUCGCUGAAGCCAUCAGUGCAGGAGUUGAGUGGGCGAAGCGGUCCUGACCCUCCAAGCAGACCAUUGCCUUUGUCAGAGCUGGGGAGCAGCCAAUACCCACCAAAAUAACAUCUGCAGGCAUCCUGUCCUCUGCAAGUGACUGGCAGCUGUGGCUGGACCUCAAACGGCAGCUGAAGUUUCCCAACCAUAUCGCAGCCACCAACCUGUGACCAGACAUUGUCCUUGUGUCUGAGUCUACUAAGCAAGUAGUGCUGCUGGAGCUGACAGUCCCAUGGGAAGAUAGCUUGGAAGAGGCCUUUGAAAGGAAGCUCUCCAAGUACGCAGGACUGGUCAGCAACUGUCAGCAGGUUGGAUGGAGAGCGAGGUGUCUCCCAAUCUCCACAGGAUUCGCAGCCCUUUCCUUAGCUAGAGCCUUCAGCAAUUUGGGUAUCGAGGGAGAGAGGAAGAGGAGAGCCAUUUGAUGCAGCAGAGAGGGCCUCAAGAUGGCAGUGGCUCAAAAGAGGGAAACUAUGGAGUCGUAAGUAGCUAGCCACCUGGACAAAAGCUGGGGUCUGAUCAGCCCCGGCUGGGUCAAUUGGAGGAGCGUGUAUGAUGUUGAAAGACCCUAAACACCCGAUGAUUCCAGGAA